rnacentral:pre_miRNA from 1 species
UAAAUUCGUCAUGAGCCUCUGUGGUAGCCCUCACAAUGAUCUCAAUAGAGUGCAUGCCACGAUCUUGUAAAGACGUAGAUGAGGGCUCCUCAGGUGUUCAUGUCGAAUGUUAG